UUGAUUUUUGCUCGUCCUCGCCGUCGCCCUGAUGCUCUCGCGUGUUCUUGGGGCCGUCUUGUCCGGGUGUCUUCGUUCCUGCGACUCUCGGAGAAAGUGAGCGAGCGGUCGGUCGGUUUGGGUAACUUGUGCGUUCGCUUCUGUUACCUGCCUGCGUUUCGUGUUCGCGUCUGGGCGAUGGUUGCAAUAAUGAUCGGUUCUGGUUUCAAAAUUGGAGCAGUGUCAAAUCGCUCCCUCUGUUUCAUCACCUGCGUUGUCCAUCGGUUGUUUUCAGUUCCCAAAUGCAUGCGCCCUUGUGAUAAUCUGGUUGCCCUAUGUCGAUUCUUGUUCUACCGGCCGGCGUGUGUGCUCCCAUCCUAGAUGCAGAGAAUCUUGUUCUUGUCUGUUACGGUUGUUCUGAUGCUGUUCUUUUCAAUUGUUUAUUGUUACAUCAUGCUCUGCUUAUGUUGACACGAUUGACCGAUUGAUUGUUGUUUGUUGUUUGAAUGAUUGCCUUGAGAUGGAUUGUUGUUUGUUGUUUGAUUAAUUGUCUUGAGAUGGAUUGUUGCUUGUUGUUUGAUGCUUGAUUGCCUUGAGAAGAUACAAACCAUGUAGGCCAGUUGAUUGUUGUUUGUUGCCUUGAGAUGGUACAUGUUUACAUGGCAUGAUUGAUUACUGUUUGUGUAUGGUUAUUAAGGUUGAUUGCUGUUUGUUGAUUGAUUGAUUGUUGUUUGUUGAUUGAUUGAUUGUCGUUUGUUGAUUGAUUGCUGUUUGUUGAUUGGUAUCUGACUUUGGUAAUGGUAGUUCUUGAUCAUAGGUAACAAACCUAGUGCUAUUCUUUUUUCUGAACUUUUUUGUGAUUAUUAUGCCUUCACAUUGCACUGCUCCCAGAUCCAUAUCGACAUGCCCACGUUGUCUGAUGAGGAUAAAGAUGUAAGGAACUCCUCCCAAGAAUCUCUCAUGCUCCUUGUAUUAACUUGGUGACUAGAUUUACAUGUUAAAUUAUUAUUUUCGUGAAACUGGAGCUCAUUGCUGUAACCCAUUAUGACUUUAUGAGCGUGCACCACUUUCAGGUUAUGAAAAAAUGGGGAAAACAAGAUUGACUUCCUCUCUCUUUCGUAUGCAAGGAAUACAGAAGAUGUGCGCCAAGUUUGAACCAUUUUGAUGAGAUCCUGGAAGAAGCAGAUGGUAUAAUUCUGUGGAGGGCGUGCGUGUGUGCGUGUAGGAGUCUAGGUUGAGUCGGACUGUGGCUGGGCCUGCGAUCGUGUGGCGAGGCAGGCGGGAUGCAGCGGUAGCAUGAUGGCACCAGGUCUUGCGGAGGAGCUGGCUGCGCAUGUUCGAGGGAAGACCAGAUCGCCAUGGACUCCGUGAGGGCUACGUAUUGUUAGCUAUUAAGCCGGCUGUACGUUUGAGUCUGUUAGUGCAUGCGUGGGUGCUACGUCUCUGUUGGCUACAAAAAAGACUGUAAAAUCCUAGUCUGGUGUGGCGUUGUGCAUCCAGUUAAGAUAAUAGAAAAUGGGGCGUUUGAACGCCGGGGCGUUUGUUGCCGGGGCGUUGGUCGCCAGAAAAC